CAGAAGGUGAAGUCGGGGGCGGGGCUGGGAGGCGAGGGCGGAGCGAGCAGAAGAAAGAUCCCGCCCCUCGCGACUCUUCCCCAGGAAGAGCAUCAGAGGCUGUAUAAAAGAGGGCGGGCCAGGCGGUUCGGCCUUUUGCAUGCGGAAGGCGUCUAGGCCGUGGGGAGUAAAGAGUCGUGUUUUGCGCUGAAAUAUCUUGGUCAGGACUUAAUGGCGUGAUUAAAAUGCAGAGGGCUCAAAAUUCUUGCUUUAGUGGUAGGAGGCGGUCAGCUUUAAAAGUCUUUAGGUUCGAGGACCCGAAAGAACUUCCGCAUGUAUUAGGUCGCAUGACGGCCACGCGCAGGCCCGGACCCUGACCAGGCUCGCGUCUGUCCAGGGCGAGGUUUGUGCACCCGGUAACGCCGGGGCAGAAGAUCGGCAGCAGUUCCACUGCCGAGGUCAUGUGGCCAUUUUGAGGCUACCCUGUAUUCGGCGCCAGAGCUCCCUGAGAACCGCCACAAUUUGAUCACGUGGGCUGCUGACACAGGGGAGCCUUCUAGCCUGGCUCUGACACCCCAAGUGCUGUUGAGCAGGAAGGACUGGAACAACUGGUAAGGCAGAGCCAAAUCAAGUCACUGGGAAAAGUGGACACAUACCUCUUGAAACAGUGCGCUGCAGUCAGGACCCAGCAGCUGCUCAGGAGCGUUGCCCCACAAAGGAGCCUGCCAUCUCCGUGGGAUGACUUCAGCCGGAGGGAAACCUGCCAAGGCCAACCACCCCUGAGAAGAAAGUUUCCUGUUGAGUUGUUUUAUUUCCUGCCAUAUCACUUGAGCAACACAUCUGUCUCAUGAGAUAAUGAUGUAGGAACACAGUCUACAUAAAUUGAAGAUUUUCAGCAUCACAAUCGCAAAAUAGGAAGAUACAAAAGGAAUUGAUUCAAUCCUGCUGUUAAAAGUAAGUACCACAAAAUGACUAUUUUAAGAUCUAUUUAAACCACGAAACAUGUAAAGAUGUAUAAUAGAGAUGUGAUAGUGUCCUACCAAGUAUUUUGAAUAUUUCCCUCUAUAUUUUUCACUUAUAUUUAUUCUGCCCUCCUAAUCAUACAUUAAGAACUUGUCAAGAAUGUUUUAUAGGACCGGGGAUUUAGCUCAGUUGUUCUGCUACCUGCCUCAAAAGCACAAGGUCCCGAGUUUGAUCCCCGGUACCAAAAAAA
rnacentral:lncRNA from 1 species